rnacentral:lncRNA from 1 species
AGCUGGCUCCUCUGCUCUCUCCUCGACAUCCUUUGACCAACCGCCAUCAGUCUUUGAAAAAUUCAUGCGGUGCAGUGUGUGGCAGUUGAUGAAGUCAGAAUGAAAUAAUCUGACAACUACCUCCCCUUCAAAACUGACUCCGAACCUUCUAAAGAUCAUGGUGAGUGCCAUACCAAAAGGCAAGUGAGCCUUAGACCUGUUCAGGAUCUCCCUCAUGGCCUCAAACAUUAAAGCAGGAAGGUUCAAGGGGGUCUCGGUGAUCACAUGAUACAUAAUGCAAAUGUCCCUACCA